rnacentral:lncRNA from 1 species
AUGGAAUCAAGUUCAAGAAUGGAUCUGUAUAUCCUCACAAUAGUUCUUUCAAAGUUCUCUUUUGAAACAGAAGAAUUUGACUUUUUGAAUUAUACAGUUCGAGACUAUGGAAAGUAUCUAGUCUCUCCAGAUUGCCUACGUUUGGAAAUUGGCUCAUCCUCUUUUUGGCUAGGUGAGAGUGCAAGUCAGUUUAAGCUCUUGUGACUGUAAAAUGGGAAAAAUAAUAAUAUGUUCUCAUAGGUAUUUGUGAAGACUAGAUGAAUAUUUAUGCAUAUUGCUUGCUUGCUAAAUCUCUUCAGUCAUGUCCGACUCUUUGUGACCCCAUGGCCAGUAGCCCACCAGUCUCCGCUGUCAAUGGAAUUCUCCAGGCAAGAUUACUGGAGUGAGUAGCCAUUCUGUUCUCUGGAUGAAGCUGUUAGUAGUAGAAAUAGCAUGUCUGUGAGGGACGUGGCAUGCUGCAGUCCAUGAAGUCACAAAGAGUUGAACAUGACUUAGCGACUGAAAAACAAAAUAUACUAAAUGCAAAGUAAUUUAGGGUUAUUUAAUGAAGCUCUUUUGUUGUUGUUCAACUCUUUGCUACCCCAUGGACUGCAGCAUGCCAGGCUUCCCUAUCCUUCAAGGUCUCCUAGACUUUUCUUAAACUCAUGUCCGUUGAGUUGUUAAUGUUAUCCAACCAUCUCAUCCUGUGUCACUCCCUUCUCCUUCUGCCUUUCUGCCAUUAGUUCCUCUUUGCUUUCUGCCAUUAGAGUGGUAUCAUCUGCUUGUCUCAGGUUGUUGAUAUUUCUCCUGGCAAUCUUGAGUCCAACUUCUGAUUCAUCCAGCCCAGCAUUUUGCAGGAUAUACACUGCAUAGAAGUUAAAUGAGCAGGGUGAUGAUAUACAGCCUUGUUGUACUCCUUUCCCAAUUUUGAACCAGUCUGUUGUUUCAUGUCCUGUUCUAACUAUUGCUUCUUGACCUGUGUAUGAGUUUCUCAGGAGGAAGGUAAGGUGGUCUGGUAUUUCCAUCUCUUGAAAAAAUUUCCAGUUUGUUGUAAACCACAGUCAAAAGGUUUAACAUAGUCAGAGAAGGCAGAGGUAGAAGGUUUUUUUUCUGAAAUUCUCUUGCUUUUUCUGUGAUUCAAUGGAUGCUGGCAAUUUGAUCUCUGGUUCCUCUGCCUUUUCUAAACUCAGCUUGUACAUUAGGAAGUUCUUAGUUCAUGUAGUGUUGAGGCUUAGCUUGAGGGAUUUUGAGCAUUAUCUUGCUAGCAUGUGAAAGGAGCAUAAUUGUAUGGUAGUUUGAAGUUUUUUGGCAUUGCCCUUCUUUGGGAUUGGAAUGAAAACUGACCUUUCCCAAUCCUGUGGCCACUGUUGAGUUUUCCAAAUUUGCUGGCAUAUUAAGUGCAGCACAUUAACAGCAUCAUCUUUUAGCAUUUGAAAUAGCUUAGCUAGAAUUCUGUCACCUCCAUUAGUUUUGUUUGUAGUAAUAGUUCCUUAAGGUCCACUUGACUUCACACUCUAAGAUGUCUGGUUUUAGAUGAGUGAUCACACUUCUGUGGUUAUCUGGGUCAUAAGGUAUUUUUUGUAUAGUUCUGUGUAUUCUUGCCACCUGUUCUUAAUCUCGUCUACUUCUGUUGAGUCCUAGCCAUUUCUGUCCUUUAUUGUGCCCAUUUUUGCAUGAAAUGUUCCCUUGGUAUCUCUGAUUUUCUUGAAGAGAUCUCUAGUCUUUCUAGUUCUAUUGUUUUCCUCUACUUUGCAUUGUUCACUUUAGGAUGGCUUUCCUAUUCUCCUUUCUGUUCUCUGUAGCUCUGCAUUCAGAUGGAUAUAUCUUUCUCUUUCCCCUUUGCCUUUUGCUUCUCUUUUUUUCUCAGCUAUUUUAAGGCUUCCUCUUGCAAUCAUUUGCCUUGUUACAUUUCUUUUUCUUGGGGAUGGUUUUGGUAAUCACCUCCGGUAUAAUGUUAUGGGCCUCCAUCCAUAGUUCCUCAGACACUCUUGUCUACCAAAUCUAAUCUCUUGAAUCU